GACGAACGCUGGCGGCGUGCUUAACACAUGCAAGUCGAACGGAAAGGCCCCGUUGUUGGUGCUCGAGCGGCGGACGGGCGCGUAAGACGUAAGUAAGCUUCCCUUCACUUUGGGACUAAUACAGGAAACUGGGGCUAAUACCGAAUAGGAAUCAUUGCUUGAUGCUGGGGGUUGGAAAGCUUCGGCCGUUUUGGAUGGACCUGCUGCUUAUCUGCUUGUUGGUUGGGUAGUGGCUUACCAAGGCUGUUACGGGCAGCCGGCCUGAGUGGGGGACCGGCCACAGUGGGACUGAGAUAAGGCCCCGGCACCUACGGGAGGGAGAAGGGGGGAAUAUUGAACUAUGGGCGGAAUGCUAGUGCAGAAAAUCCGCGGGCGGGAAGACGGUCUUUUGGUUGUAAACCGAAUUCAGCAGGGGCGAAGCUUGUAGUGACGGUACCUGCAAAAGAAGCACCGGCUAACUACGUG
rnacentral:rRNA from 1 species